AAGUCGUAACAAGGUCUCCGUUGGUGAACCAGCGGAGGGAUCAUUACGAGAGUGUCACCACUCCCAACCCAUUGUUUACCUACCCGUCCACCGUGCUUCGGCAGGCAGCCCUGUGGGACAGGGCCUCGCCCCCUCCGGGGGGUGCCUGCCGCUGGCCAACCAAUAACUCAAGCUGUUUUUGUACCAUCUGAGUCUUCCACAAAUAAACAAAACUUUCAACAACGGAUCUCUUGGUUCUG
rnacentral:misc_RNA from 1 species